rnacentral:tRNA from 1 species
ACUUGAAUAUCUUAAAGUUAAAAGUUUAACUCUGAAGAAGUUAAUAUAGGUUAUAACCUUUCAAGUG